GAUUAACGCUGGCGGCGUGCAUAACACAUGCAAGUCGAACGAUGAAACUUAAAUGAUCUCUUCGGAGUGAAUUUAAGUGGAUUAGUGGCGGACGGGUGAGUAACGCGUGAGUAACCUGCCUUAGAGAAGGGGAUAGCCUUUGGAAACGAAGAAUAAUACCCUAUGAAACCAUAACCUCGCAUGAGGCCUUGGUCAAAGAUUUAUCGCUCUAAGAUGGACUUGCGUCUGAUUAGUUAGUUGGUGGGGUAACGGCCCACCAAGACAGCGAUCAGUAGCCGGCUUGAGAGAGUGUACGGCCACAUUGGGACUGAGACACGGCCCAGACUCCUACGGGAGGCAGCAGUGGGGAAUUUUGCACAAUGGGGGAAACCCUGAUGCAGCGACGCCGCGUGAUUUAGAAGGCCUUCGGGUUGUAAAAAUCUUUUCUAUGGGAAGAAAAUGACAGUACCAUAGGAAUAAGGACCGGCUAAUUACGUGCCAGCAGCCGCGGUAAUACGUAAGGUCCGAGCGUUGUCCGGAAUCAUUGGGCGUAAAGGGUACGUAGGCGGGUAAGCAAGUUAGAAGUGAAAUCCUAUAGCUCAACUAUAGUAAGCUUUUAAAACUGCUCAUCUUGAGGUAUGGAAGGGAAAGUGGAAUUCCUAGUGUAGCGGUGAAAUGCGCAGAUAUUAGGAGGAAUACCGGUGGCGAAGGCGACUUUCUGGCCAUAACCUGACGCUGAGGUACGAAAGCGUGGGUAUCAACAGGAUUAUAUACCCUGGUAGUCCAAGGGCGAAUUCCACAGUGGAUAUCAAGCUUAUCGAUACCGUCGACCUCGAGGGGGGGCCCGGUACCCAGCUUUUGUUCCCCUUUAAUGAGGGAUAUUA
rnacentral:rRNA from 1 species